rnacentral:lncRNA from 1 species
GGAAUUUAAUGUCUCCCAUUUUACUUUUAAGCACUGACGAUGAGCAGUCCUUACACUUUCCUCACAACAUGAUCUCUUAGAGAGGAAGGAGGAGAAGAACCAAGAAUUCAUGUUCAAUCUCUGCAGGUAUUCUUAUAUUAAUCAAAAAAGUUUCUUAGGGAACUUAUGAUGUAUUAUAUGAUUCAUGUUUUUGCUAAAUAAACUGCACUUUUUGCAUGAUCUUAAUUUGCAGUAUAUAGGAUGAUUGCAAUAUGUUCUAAGUAUUAAUUCUUCUUUUUGCUAAUUCUCGGUUUUCAGCAGGACAUGAAAGCCAAAAGCCAAAAGCCACGCGUAGAGGUUGGUGUGGAAUACUCAUUUGAGCAAGAAAAACAAAGUAAUUUUCGUUUUAAAAGGAUCUUGAGGCGACGUAGUCCAUGAACCUCGACCUCGGACCUUCAUCGCCGAGGGUAAUAAGUGGCCAGUUGCGUAGUUAUGGGCGUUUUAGUCCAAUAAAUUACACACACAUGAUGUAGACGCAAAAAUGAAAAACUUGGAAUUUGGUGGACGUCUUGAAUUCUGCACAGAGUUACUUGUUUUGAUCAUGUUUGGCUUUGCUUAAAAGAAAAAAGACUAAGAAAGGUCUUCUUUUGGACUUNCCCUCCAAAUUCUUUCAAAU